GUGAGUUGAUUCCUCUAUGCACGCCUUCUUCUCCUCAAGAGUUGUUGACUAAUUGGUAAGUGUACCAAAUCGUACAAGUAAUAUAAAUGGUAAGACCAAGUAUCGUUUUCCCAAGAGACUCGAACCCAAGGUGAGGUGCAACAAGGAAUGGAGAUGAUGAACAAGAAGGCGUGAUGUGUGUUGGGUGUGACUAGUGUUCUGUUGUGCCUCUUCAAGAGUGAAUGGAAGUGAGAAUCAGAUGGGUUAUGAUGAGGAUGGGUGGGGAGGGAUAUAGGGGAAAAGAGACAGAAGAAAUGAGGGUUGUGGGGGGAUUAGCAGGAUGGCUUCAUGGUCCUGGAAGAAGAAGUUAUGUGUAGGGGGAUAAGAGUUAGGGAAGAAGGGGUAUGCUCUUGGUAUGUACCUCGCAUUGGGGUGGAAAGAAAAAAGUGAGUGUUGAGGAGUAGAGCACCAUCUCACAUCAUUAGUUUCUCCAUUUCUCACUCUAGGUUCUGAUGUUGAACGUGAUUGUAUGAUCAAGAUGAAUGUUGUUUAAUGGUGGUUUGGAAUGGAUGGGAGGAAGAAGAUGAUGGUGAAGGUUGCAUGAGAGAUUGGUUUUCUUGCGGGACGUGCAGUGAUGAUAAAAGAACUUGUAGAGUGGAGGUUUUGAUGAAAGAUGGUAUGUUGAGUAAGAAAACUAUUCAUUAUCUGCAUCAUAGGGUUGCUGAACAACGUUUUUCGACAUUCAGCUGUCAUGAGUUAUUCUCAAUAAUCUUUUACUGCAAAGAAAUACUAUAAUUUAGAAACU
rnacentral:lncRNA from 1 species